CCUACGGGGGGCAGCAGUGGGGAAUAUUGGACAAUGGGCGAAAGCCUGAUCCAGCCAUGCCGCGUGUGUGAAGAAGGCCUUCGGGUUGUAAAGCACUUUCAGUGGGGAAGAAAGCCUUGGGGCUAAUACCCUCGAGGAAGGACAUCACCCACAGAAGAAGCACCGGCUAACUCCGUGCACAGCAGCCGCGGUAAUACGGAGGGUGCGAGCGUUAAUCGGAAUUACUGGGCGUAAAGCGCGCGUAGGCGGUCUGAUAAGCCGGUUGUGAAAGCCCCGGGCUCAACCUGGGAACGGCAUCCGGAACUGUCAGGCUAGAGUGCAGGAGAGGAAGGUAGAAUUCCCGGUGUAGCGGUGAAAUGCGUAGAGAUCGGGAGGAAUACCAGUGGCGAAGGCGGCCUUCUGGACUGACACUGACGCUGAGGUGCGAAAGCGUGGGUAGCAAACAGGAUUAGAUACCCCGGUAGUC
rnacentral:rRNA from 1 species